rnacentral:rRNA from 1 species
UACAGAGGUCCCAAGCGUUGUUCGGAUUCACUGGGCGUAAAGGGCGCGUAGGCGGCGGGGUCAGUCGGGUGUGAAAUCUUGGGGCUUAACCCCGAAACGGCACUCGAAACUGCCCGGCUGGAGGGCCGGAGAGGAGAUCGGAAUUCACGGUGUAGCAGUGAAAUGCGUAGAGAUCGUGAGGAAGACCCGUGGCGAAGGCGGAUCUCUGGACGGCUAACUGACGCUGAGGCGCGAAGGCCAGGGGAGCAAACGGG